CCAAAAAAGAAUUCUUGAGACAUCUUUGAUGCAAAAUGGUGGUCUGUUAGAGCACAGGGACAGGACCCAUCGGCAGGAAGAGCUGCUGCCCCGGGGAUGUGAGGAGUGGUCUAUUAUAUACGAAAUGCUGCAUUGAGUCUCCCAUGGUAUGAAGAAGCCCAGAUGGAGAGAGUGUUCCAGUUGAGCCCAGCCUGGGCUGACUUGCCAGCUGAAAGCAACAGCAUGAGUGACCUCAGAUUUUUUCUCCCCUAACCUGAUCUCUGCUUUGAGAGGCAAAGAAUCUUGGACAUGGAGGAGUGAGAACCUAUGUGCUCAUGCUGUUCAUGUAAGAAAAGGGACAUUUACAGUCCUUCUGGCACUAGGGACAGUUUCUAUAACGUGGCAUCUUGGACCACCUCAAGCCAAGUCUUACCUGCUCG